ensembl:snoRNA Small nucleolar RNA SNORD74
UCCGUGUGCACAUGAUGAAAAUUAUGUUGGUAGGGACAUCUGACAAAAUCUGAUGAAUGCCAACUUUUCUGACCUAGCAUA